rnacentral:rRNA from 1 species
GGUGACCUCGAUCAGUAGAUCCAUCGCUGAACUUAAGCAUAUCAAUAAGCGGAGGAAAAGAAACCAACAGGGAUUGCCUCAGUAACGGCGAGUGAAGCGGCAACAGCUCAAUUUGAAAUCUGGCCUCUUUGGGGUCCGAGUUGUAAUUUGUAGAGGAUGUUUCGGGUACCGCCCCCGUCUAAAUUUCUUGGAACAGAAUGUCAGAGAGGGUGAGAAUCCCGUCUUGGACCGGCGGUAGGGCCCAUGUGAAACUCCUUCGACGAGUCGAGU